GAACUGCCUCCUUGGGAGUGUUGGAAGUGAGUUCUGCUCUUCGGAAUGGGGGCUGUGACCUUUCCCUUUUGGUUUUUGGGGGCAUCCUGACCACAUUUAAGUGCUGACAGAUGUAAGGGUAAUGUUGAUCUCUGGAGACUGUCUCCUGUGGAGCAGGGUAUCCUGACCACUUUUAAGGGGUGGAAGCCAUAAGGGCAGUAUCUGUACCUGGAGACUACUUCCUUGGCAGUGUGGGCUGAGUGUUCAUCUUUGGAAUGGGGUAACUUAUUCUUUCUUUAUUUCAGGGCUGUUAUGCACUGCUUCUAACCAUGCAGAGUUGUUUAAGGGCAUUCUGUGCACCCUUAGGUGUAAUAAAUCUUCAUCUUUAUAGGAAGCCAAAGAUUGUCUUCUUCUGG